rnacentral:rRNA from 1 species
CCUACGGGAGGCUGCAGUGGGGAAUAUUGGACAAUGGGGGCAACCCUGAUCCAGCCAUGCCGCGUGUGUGAAGAAGGCCCUCGGGUUGUAAAGCACUUUCAGUGAGGAAGAACGCCUGGUGGUUAAUACCCAUCAGGAAAGACAUCACUCACAGAAGAAGCACCGGCUAACUCCGUGCCAGCAGCCGCGGUAAUACGGAGGGUGCGAGCGUUAAUCGGAAUUACUGGGCGUAAAGCGCGCGUAGGUGGCUUGAUAAGCCGGUUGUGAAAGCCCCGGGCUCAACCUGGGAACGGCAUCCGGAACUGUCGAGCUAGAGUGCAGGAGAGGAAGGUAGAACUCCCGGUGUAGCGGUGAAAUGCGUAGAGAUCGGGAGGAAUACCAGUGGCGAAGGCGGCCUUCUGGACUGACACUGACACUGAGGUGCGAAAGCAUGGGUAGCGAACAGGAUUAGAUACCCCGGUAGUC